UUAAGCGACUAAGCGUACACGGUGGAUGCCCUGGCAGUCAGAGGCGAUGAAGGACGUGCUAAUCUGCGAUAAGCGUCGGUAAGGUGAUAUGAACCGUUAUAACCGGCGAUUUCCGAAUGGGGAAACCCAGUGUGUUUCGACACACUAUCAUUAACUGAAUCCAUAGGUUAAUGAGGCGAACCGGGGGAACUGAAACAUCUAAGUACCCCGAGGAAAAGAAAUCAACCGAGAUUCCCCCAGUAGCGGCGAGCGAACGGGGAGCAGCCCAGAGCCUGAAUCAGUGUGUGUGUUAGUGGAAGCGUCUGGAAAGGCGCGCGAUACAGGGUGACAGCCCCGUACACAAAAAUGCACAUGCUGUGAGCUCGAUGAGUAGGGCGGGACACGUGGUAUCCUGUCUGAAUAUGGGGGGACCAUCCUCCAAGGCUAAAUACUCCUGACUGACCGAUAGUGAACCAGUACCGUGAGGGAAAGGCGAAAAGAACCCCGGCGAGGGGAGUGAAAAAGAACCUGAAACCGUGUACGUACAAGCAGUGGGAGCCUCUUUAUGGGGUGACUGCGUACCUUUUGUAUAAUGGGUCAGCGACUUAUAUUCUGUAGCAAGGUUAACCGAAUAGGGGAGCCGAAGGGAAACCGAGUCUUAACUGGGCGUUAAGUUGCAGGGUAUAGACCCGAAACCCGGUGAUCUAGCCAUGGGCAGGUUGAAGGUUGGGUAACACUAACUGGAGGACCGAACCGACUAAUGUUGAAAAAUUAGCGGAUGACUUGUGGCUGGGGGUGAAAGGCCAAUCAAACCGGGAGAUAGCUGGUUCUCCCCGAAAGCUAUUUAGGUAGCGCCUCGUGAAUUCAUCUCCGGGGGUAGAGCACUGUUUCGGCAAGGGGGUCAUCCCGACUUACCAACCCGAUGCAAACUGCGAAUACCGGAGAAUGUUAUCACGGGAGACACACGGCGGGUGCUAACGUCCGUCGUGAAGAGGGAAACAACCCAGACCGCCAGCUAAGGUCCCAAAGUCAUGGUUAAGUGGGAAACGAUGUGGGAAGGCACAGACAGCCAGGAUGUUGGCUUAGAAGCAGCCAUCAUUUAAAGAAAGCGUAAUAGCUCACUGGUCGAGUCGGCCUGCGCGGAAGAUGUAACGGGGCUAAACCAUGCACCGAAGCUGCGGCAGCGACACUAUGUGUUGUUGGGUAGGGGAGCGUUCUGUAAGCCUGUGAAGGUGGCCUGUGAGGGUUGCUGGAGGUAUCAGAAGUGCGAAUGCUGACAUAAGUAACGAUAAAGCGGGUGAAAAGCCCGCUCGCCGGAAGACCAAGGGUUCCUGUCCAACGUUAAUCGGGGCAGGGUGAGUCGACCCCUAAGGCGAGGCCGAAAGGCGUAGUCGAUGGGAAACAGGUUAAUAUUCCUGUACUUGGUGUUACUGCGAAGGGGGGACGGAGAAGGCUAUGUUGGCCGGGCGACGGUUGUCCCGGUUUAAGCGUGUAGGCUGGUUUUCCAGGCAAAUCCGGAAAAUCAAGGCUGAGGCGUGAUGACGAGGCACUACGGUGCUGAAGCAACAAAUGCCCUGCUUCCAGGAAAAGCCUCUAAGCAUCAGGUAACAUCAAAUCGUACCCCAAACCGACACAGGUGGUCAGGUAGAGAAUACCAAGGCGCUUGAGAGAACUCGGGUGAAGGAACUAGGCAAAAUGGUGCCGUAACUUCGGGAGAAGGCACGCUGAUGUGUAGGUGAAGCCCCUGCGGGUGGAGCUGAAAUCAGUCGAAGAUACCAGCUGGCUGCAACUGUUUAUUAAAAACACAGCACUGUGCAAACACGAAAGUGGACGUAUACGGUGUGACGCCUGCCCGGUGCCGGAAGGUUAAUUGAUGGGGUUAGCGGUAACGCGAAGCUCUUGAUCGAAGCCCCGGUAAACGGCGGCCGUAACUAUAACGGUCCUAAGGUAGCGAAAUUCCUUGUCGGGUAAGUUCCGACCUGCACGAAUGGCGUAAUGAUGGCCAGGCUGUCUCCACCCGAGACUCAGUGAAAUUGAACUCGCUGUGAAGAUGCAGUGUACCCGCGGCAAGACGGAAAGACCCCGUGAACCUUUACUAUAGCUUGACACUGAACAUUGAGCCUUGAUGUGUAGGAUAGGUGGGAGGCUUUGAAGUGUGGACGCCAGUCUGCAUGGAGCCGACCUUGAAAUACCACCCUUUAAUGUUUGAUGUUCUAACGUUGACCCGUAAUCCGGGUUGCGGACAGUGUCUGGUGGGUAGUUUGACUGGGGCGGUCUCCUCCUAAAGAGUAACGGAGGAGCACGAAGGUUGGCUAAUCCUGGUCGGACAUCAGGAGGUUAGUGCAAUGGCAUAAGCCAGCUUGACUGCGAGCGUGACGGCGCGAGCAGGUGCGAAAGCAGGUCAUAGUGAUCCGGUGGUUCUGAAUGGAAGGGCCAUCGCUCAACGGAUAAAAGGUACUCCGGGGAUAACAGGCUGAUACCGCCCAAGAGUUCAUAUCGACGGCGGUGUUUGGCACCUCGAUGUCGGCUCAUCACAUCCUGGGGCUGAAGUAGGUCCCAAGGGUAUGGCUGUUCGCCAUUUAAAGUGGUACGCGAGCUGGGUUUAGAACGUCGUGAGACAGUUCGGUCCCUAUCUGCCGUGGGCGCUGGAGAACUGAGGGGGGCUGCUCCUAGUACGAGAGGACCGGAGUGGACGCAUCACUGGUGUUCGGGUUGUCAUGCCAAUGGCACUGCCCGGUAGCUAAAUGCGGAAGAGAUAAGUGCUGAAAGCAUCUAAGCACGAAACUUGCCCCGAGAUGAGUUCUCCCUGACUCCUUGAGAGUCCUGAAGGAACGUUGAAGACGACGACGUUGAUAGGCCGGGUGUGUAAGCGCAGCGAUGCGUUGAGCUAACCGGUACUAAUGAACCGUGAGGCUUAACCUU
rnacentral:rRNA from 1 species